GUUUCCGUAGUGUAGUGGUUAUCACGUGCGCCUCACACGCGCAAGGUCCCCGGUUCGAGCCCGGGCGGAAACU
rnacentral:tRNA from 1 species